rnacentral:rRNA from 1 species
UACGGAGGGGACUAGCGUUGUUCGGAAUUACUGGGCGUAAAGCGCACGUAGGCGGAUUUGUAAGUCAGGGGUGAAAUCCCGGGGCUCAACCUCGGAACUGCCUUUGAUACUGCAAAUCUCGAGUCCGGAAGAGGUGAGUGGAAUUCCUAGUGGUAGAGGUGAAAUUCGUAGAUAUUAGGAAGAACACCAGUGGCGAAGGCGGCUCACUGGUCCGGUACUGACGCUGAGGUGCGAAAGCGUGGGGAGCAAACAGG